rnacentral:lncRNA from 1 species
CGUUGUCUGACGCCAGUGUAUUUUUUAGCUAUUUUAAUAAUAUUUCAUCUUUAUAAAUUGCAAUAUGAAUAUUGCGGUAUUCAUACGGAAGGGAGGACUCUUGCAACCAUUCCAAACAAGUCUACCAAGUAGGAUCCAUUUUCACUUCACGUAGAAAAUUUGACUACACUGUAUUCUGUUAUAUAAGUAUAAGUUCAUCCAAGUAAUGGGAAAACUUUGUAUCGCACCUGGAUGACUUUGUGGUUACAGGGUAAAUAAGUCUGACAAGAUCCUCCUCCCACCAAAAAGAUAUUUCUAUAUUUUUCCAAAGAAUAAGAAAUGACGGAAGUCUUUGGAUAUAACAAUCUUUUAACAAUUAGCCAUUCAGUACAAGAACAAGAAACUUACAUUUCAACUACUGAAACACAUCAUUGACAACAAUCAUAUUAAUAAGUGUGAUAUUUUAUUGGACAUACUGUCCUGUUUGAAUUCCUUGUCUACUUCCGAUUUUGUUUCUGAAAAUUCAACUGAAACCAAUGUUGAAGAUGAAAUAGAAUCAGUUAUUAAGCGUCUCCAAAGCCUCAAUCCUCAUUUGGAUGAACAUCAAGAAAAAAAAACUUAGCUUCCUGACAGAAUAAUUAUCCCUUCUUCUAAAAAAUCCUUCACAGAGGAGGUACACUACAUCCAUGUAGGUUUUUUUCUACGUUAUGGAAAAGUUUUUCAACUGCAUUAUACAGAGAGCUCCACAAAGAUGUCCUUACUCUUCCCAUUUUAUAUCGACUUUCAGAACUGUCAAAAUCACUUAAUUUAUAAUCAAGACUUUGGGAAACAACCGUUAAAUAUCUGAAGACUCGUUUGAACUCUUUUCAAAAACAUUGGUAUUGUGUUUGAUGAAACGUACUCCACAAGACGAGUCGUUUCUCUGGAGAGUUUUUUGACUAAAAUAAGAUGAAGAGAUAUCCAAGACAAUAUUUUUCGUUCUGAUUAAGAGCCUUCAUUCUACUUAUAACGACAUGAUUACAAUGCAUCCCGUAUCCAAAUUGAAUGCUGAAACUGUAAAAAUUGUUUUUGAUUAAGUUGCCGAAGUCGUUUCUCAAAUUGGAUUCAAAGAUUUCGAAAAAUAAGAUGGUAACCCUGAUCGUUUGAAAAAUGUGUCAGAGGAGAGCAGCUACGUUCUUAUGCCUUUUCAUUAGAUCUUCUACAAUCAGCGGUGACGACGGAGAGAAUGAGAUGAACAAGGACAUAGGCAACAAUUACUCCGAUGUCGUUCCUCAAUCAUAUUUUGAGUCCAACAAAGAAUUAUAAUUAUAACUCUAUAAUAAAUCUUCAGGGUUACUCUUUGUUUUAAAUCUA